CCUGGGAACUUCAAUGGUAAGAAAAAAAAUCAAACCUUUAACUGAAAUUUAGCAUUUCCUUCAAUUUUUUAAGAACAUUAUUUCAAGAAGAGCGCUAUGGGUUUCACCCAAGACUACCAAAGAGAUUUGUGACACAAAUAAGAUUAAGGACUCCUGCUCUAAGCCUAGAAAUACUUCUGCCUCAGAGGUCUGGGAAGCUCGAGAUGGGGCCAGAGGAGGUAGAGAGAAAAGAGUAUUAUUUCUUUUUUACAUUCCAAUGGAUGCCACACCUCAAGUGGAAUGAAGGUCAAACUCUGUAGACACUCCUUACCUACCCAGCCAUCUGAGUUCAAACGCUGACUUAAAAUAAAAGGGAGAUGAGGGAAAUCGGAGGAAUGGAAAGAAAUAGAGAGUGAUUUCUUGAACAAUUUUCAAAGCCCCAUGCCUGAAAUCUUUCCUCUUCUCCUUGACCAAUACAUGAAGAGUAUCAUUUUGGUCUUGGGGCAGACGUGGCAGGUGAUCGCUAUGCUGGUACUAACAAAGUCUUUGGCAAUGAUCAGGUAACCAUGAUCUUGCAGUAUAAAGUGAGCAGUUAGGCAAAGCUGAGAUACAGAAUAAAUGUAAUGAAAUAGUUUAGGUUAGCAGCUUAAUAAACUCCCAAAACUUCCCAUUUCUAUAUCUCCAUGGAAGUAGGACUGUUUAUCUCAGGGCAAGUUAAGUAUGUCCUAGACUGUGUAUGAGUAGCAGAAGCUACCCUUUGAGAGAAUGUCAUCUUAAUUAGAAAACAAACUCAAUUUCUAUAAAUAAUGCAGAAACCAUUUUUUGUGACAUAGCAUUAAUCAGAUUUGGCCUGAUACCCCAAACAUCUAAUUAAUAUACAUCCUACUUCUCUUUUCUCCCCAAACUUUAAAUCUUUU
rnacentral:lncRNA from 1 species